rnacentral:rRNA from 1 species
AUGAACGCUGGCGGCGUGCUUAACACAUGCAAGUCGAGCGAGGCCAGGGGGCAACUCCCUGAGUCGAGCGGCGGACGGGUGAGUAACACGUGGGUAACCUACCCGGAAGUGGGGAAUACCUCGGGGAAACUCGAGCUAAUACCGCAUGACAUCUUUGGGACGAAAGUCCUGACGAUCAAAGCGGGAGUCGCAAGAUCUCGCGCUACCGGAUGGGCCCGCGCCCCGAUUAGCUAGUUGGUGGGGGUGGGUAACGGCUACACCAAGGCGACGAUCGGUAACACGGCCUGAGAGGGCGAUCGGUAAUACACCGGAACUGAGACACGGUCCGGACUACCUAACGGGAUGGCAGUCAGUGGGGAAUCUUGCUGCAAUGGGCGAAAGCCUGACGCAGCAACGCCGCGUGGAGGAUGAAGGCCCUUGGGGUUGUAACUCCUGUCGCUGGGAAGAAGUCGUUCGCGGUUAAUACCAGCGGACGUUGACUGUACCAGCAAAGGAAGCCCCCGGCUAACUCUGUGCCAGCAGCCGCCGGUAAUACAGAGGGGGCCAGCGUUAUUCGGAAUUAUUGGGCGUAAAGGGCGCGUAGGCGGCCACGCGUGUCUUCCGUGAAAUCCCGUCGGCUCAACCGAGGACGUGCGGAAGAACUGCGAGGCUCGAAUGUCCAGAAAGAGGGGGGCGGAAUUCCCAGUGUAGCGGUGAAUGCGUAGAGAUAUUUGGAGGAACACCUGUGGCGAAGGCGGCCCACAUGGGCUGGUACUGACGCUGAUUGCCGCGGAAAGCGUUGGGUAGCAACGGGAUUAGAGUACCCCGGUAGUCUACGCCGUAAACGAUGGGCACUUGGUUCGCGGGUAUCGACCCCCAUGUCGUGCCGAAGCUAACGCAUUAAGUGCCCCGCCUGGGGAGUACGGUCGCAAGGCUGAAACUCAAAGGAAUUGAACGGGGCACCGCACAAGCGUGGAUGCAUGUGGUUUAAUUCGAAGCAACGCGAAGAACCUUACCUGGGUUUGAAGGUGAGCAGAUCGGGGGCGAAAUCUCCUUUCCGCGAAGGGACUGCUUGCUAGGUGCUGCAUGGCUGUCGUCAGCUCGUGUCGUGAGAUGUUGGGUUAAGUCCCGCAACGAGCGCAACCCUGUUGCUGUAGUUGCCAUCAGGUAAUGCGGGCACUCUGCAAGACUGCCGGUGAUAAACCGGAGGAAGGUGGGGGAUGACGUCAAGUCAGCAUGGCCUUUAUGAUCUGGGCUACACACGUGCUACAAUGGCGUACAAACCGUCGCGAAAGCCGUAAGGGCAAGCUGGGCAUAAUCGGAUAUAAAGCUCGGUCUCAAGUUCGGAUCGUAGGUCUGCAACUCGACCCCAUGAAGUUGGAAUCGCUAGUAAUCGCGGAUCAGCACGCCGCGGUGAAUACGUUCCCCGGGCCUUAGUACACACCGCCCGUCACAAUCACGAAAGUCCGGUUGUACCUAGAAGUCGGCCUGUACUGACCCGCAAGAGAGGAGGCCGCCUAAGGUAUGGUCGGUAAUUGGGGUG